rnacentral:rRNA from 1 species
GACGAACGCUGGCGGCGGGCCUAACACAUGCAAGUCGAACGAAGAGCGAUGGAGGCUUGCUUCGCGCAAGCGUGGGGGCGAACGGGUCAAUAACGCGUUUUUAACCUGGGCAUCAGGGGGGGACAAAGGUUGAAAACCACUGCUAUUACAGCAAACGAUCGAAUCCCUAUUUUAAAGAUAGCGGUAAGAGAUGAGUAUGCGUUCUAUUAGCUAGUUGGAGAGGUAACGGGUCCCCAAGGCGACGAGAGAUAGGGGUUCUGAGAGGGAUGUCCCCCACACUGGUACUGAGAUACGGACCAGACGCCUACGGGAGGCAGCAGUGAGGAAUAUUGGACAAUGGUCGGAAGACUGAUCCAGCCAUGCCGCGUGCAGGAUGACGGCCUUAUGGGUUGUAAACUGCUUUUGUAAGGGAAGAAUAAGGAGUACGGGUACUUUGAUGACGGUACCUUACGAAUAAGCAUCGGCUAACUCCGUG